GGAAUUUUCCGCAAUGGGCGAAAGCCUGACGGAGCAAUACCGCGUGAGGGAAGACUGCCUAUGGGUUGUAAACCUCUUUUUUCAGGGAGGAAUCAAUGACGUGUACCUGAAGAAUAAGCAUCGGCUAACUCCGUGCCAGCAGCCGCGGUAAGACGGAGGAUGCAAGUGUUAUCCGGAAUCACUGGGCGUAAAGCGUCUGUAGGUGGUUUAAUAAGUCAACUGUUAAAUCUUGAGGCUCAACUUCAAAAUCGCAGUCGAAACUAUUAGACUAGAGUAUAGUAGAGGUAAAGGGAAUUUCCAGUGGAGCGGUGAAAUGCGUAGAUAUUGGAAAGAACACCGAUGGCGAAAGCACUUUACUGGGCUAUUACUAACACUCAGAGACGAAAGCUAGGGUAGCAAAUGGGAUUAGAUACCCCAGUAGUC
rnacentral:rRNA from 1 species